rnacentral:rRNA from 1 species
CAUGUAGGCGGUUCGUUAAGUCUGAUGUGAAAGCCCCGGGCUCAACCCGGGAAGUGCAUUGGAAACUGGCGAACUUGAGUACGGGAGAGGAAAGUGGAAUUUCGAGUGUAGGGGUGAAAUCCGUAGAUAUUCGAAGGAACACCAGUGGCGAAGGCGGCUUUCUGGACCGAUACUGACGCUGAGAUGCGAAAGCGUGGGGAGCAAACAGGAUUAGAUACCCUGGUAGUCC